rnacentral:sRNA from 1 species
AUCGUCGAUCUGCUGCGGACAGAUAAAGUGGAUAUGGCUGUCAAACCCCCCGGCCGUCAGAAUGCGGCCCUCGCCAGCAAUGACUUCGGUGCCGGGGCCAAUGAUGAUAUUCACCCCUGGCUGAGUGUCCGGAUUGCCCGCUUUGCCGAUCUGACGGAUGCGCCCCGAUCUGAGGCCGACGUCCGCCUUGUAAAUCCCAGAGUGGUCAACGAUCAACGCAUUGGUAAUGACCGUAUCAACCGCGCCUUCGGCACGGGUUGCCUGACUUUGGCCCAUACCAUCGCGGAU